CAGUUUGCUGUUGAAGUGCUUCCCGACGUCACAGCCGAACCAUACUGCCUAAGGAGAGAGAAGGAGGGACGCAAGCUCAAGACCGGCCCUGACGACAAAGGGCCUUCUUAGCAGCUGUUCCCAGGCUCUGAAAUAUCCUUCCUAGAAGAACUAGACUGGCUAAGCAGAGCCAGUCCUAAUUAAGAAUUGGAUGAGAGACCACCAAGGAAUCCAGGUGCCAUUGAAUCUAUUUCCAAGAACUGGGAAAACCACUUUUGUAGAUCACUGAAAUCCAUAAGCCAACUUGAAGGCACAGACACACAGCACCACCAAUAACAACAACAGCCUUUGCCAGGAGAAGGAAGGUUUAUGCACACAAACCUUAUCCCAGAAGAAGAGAUGGGCCUGGCUGAACUCAAACUCCUCGAUGUUGAGCUUCUUCAUGAAUGGAAGACGCAUCACGUUCAGGCAGGAGAAAAUCCAGCAGCGGCCUGAAGAAAGAGACAGAGAGAACAAACUAUCAAAAUAGAAGCAGAGGAGAAAUGGAGACAUCCAAGCUAAGAAGUCUCCAAGGUGUUGUUGUGCAUUGAGGACUAGCGGCCACAAUCCCAAAUUCUGCAAUUCCCUUUCUUGGAAGUCCAGUCAGCUCCCUCCCUGUUGUUCUUCCGCCACCAGGCCUAUUGGAAAGGGGCAGCACUCUGCACAUGCUCAGAGUCCCGAUGGCAACGCACCUGGGAAACUCAUGCUGGAGCUGGAUGGCCUCGGAGGAGUCCCA